CAGCAUGGGCGAAUGAAACACUCUUCGGCGGAAAUCAAGACGCUUGGGCGAGCCUCCAGAGAGAUUUCAAUUCAACAUACUACCUUCUCAAAUCGACAUAUAACAACGACAGUGUUUGGGGAGAAGAAUUUACUUGUAUCAGUGUAAAUGCAACUCUUCUGAAUGAAACAGCGAAAACUGUUACAGCUGAUGUUCAUUACAAAAAUAAAAACAACUUAACUCUGCAAAAGUCUGAAGAAACAAUUCAGGCCGUUAAGAUGUACAAUUACACAAAGGAAAAUGCCAUCAAUUAUACAAUAGUGAAAGGUAAG
rnacentral:lncRNA from 1 species